rnacentral:rRNA from 1 species
UAGGGAAUAUUGGACAAUGGGGGCAACCCUGAUGCAGCGACGCCGCGUGAGCGAUGAAGCCCUUCGGGGCGUAAAGCUCUUUCGACCGGAACGAUAAUGACGGUACCGGGAGAAGAAGCUGCGGCUAACUACGUGCCAGCAGCCGCGGUAAUACGUAGGCAGCAAGCGUUGUUCGGAGUUACUGGGCGUAAAGAGUGCGUAGGCGGUUUUCUAAGUUCGGUGUGAAAUCUCCCGGCUUAACUGGGAGGGUGCGCCGAAGACUGGGGAGCUGGAGUGUGGGAAAGGCAGGCGGAAUUCCUGGUGUAGCGGUGAAAUGCGUAGAUAUCAGGAGGAACACCGGCGGUGUAGACGGCUUGCUAGACCAUAACUGACACUGAGGCACGAAAGCGUGGGUAGCAAACA